rnacentral:rRNA from 1 species
UACGUAGGGAGCAAGCGUUGUCCGGAAUCAUUGGGCGUAAAGAGCGCGUAGGUGGAUUAAUUAGUCUGCUGUGAAAGUCAAAGGCUCAACCUUUGAAUGCCGGUGGAUACUGUUGAUCUAGAGUACGGAAGAGGCGAGUGGAAUUCCUGGUGUAGCGGUGGAAUGCGCAGAUAUCAGGAGGAACACCAAUAGCGAAGGCAGCUCGCUGGGACGUUACUGACACUGAGGCGCGAAAGCGUGGGGAGCAAACAGG